rnacentral:rRNA from 1 species
UGCAAGUCGAACGGAAAGGCCCCUUCGGGGGUACUCGAGUGGCGAACGGGUGAGUAACACGUGGGCAAUCUGCCCUGCACUUCGGGAUAAGCCUGGGAAACUGGGUCUAAUACCGGAUAGGACCACUUGGCGCAUGCCUUGUGGUGGAAAGCUUUUGCGGUGUGGGAUGGGCCCGCGGCCUAUCAGCUUGUUGGUGGGGUGAUGGCCUACCAAGGCGACGACGGGUAGCCGGCCUGAGAGGGUGUCCGGCCACACUGGGACUGAGAUACGGCCCAGACUCCUACGGGAGGCAGCAGUGGGGAAUAUUGCACAAUGGGCGCAAGCCUGAUGCAGCGACGCCGCGUGGGGGAUGACGGCCUUCGGGUUGUAAACCUCUUUCAGCAGGGACGAAGCGAAAGUGACGGUACCUGCAGAAGAAGCACCGGCCAACUACGUGCCAGCAGCCGCGGUAAUACGUAGGGUGCGAGCGUUGUCCGGAAUUACUGGGCGUAAAGAGCUCGUAGGUGGUUUGUCGCGUUGUUCGUGAAAACCGGGGGCUUAACCCUCGGCGUGCGGGCGAUACGGGCAGACUAGAGUACUGCAGGGGAGACUGGAAUUCCUGGUGUAGCGGUGGAAUGCGCAGAUAUCAGGAGGAACACCGGUGGCGAAGGCGGGUCUCUGGGCAGUAACUGACGCUGAGGAGCGAAAGCGUGGGGAGCGAACAGGAUUAGAUACCCUGGUAGUCCACGCCGUAAACGGUGGGUACUAGGUGUGGGUUUCCUUCCUUGGGAUCCGUGCCGUAGCUAACGCAUUAAGUACCCCGCCUGGGGAGUACGGCCGCAAGGCUAAAACUCAAAGGAAUUGACGGGGGCCCGCACAAGCGGCGGAGCAUGUGGAUUAAUURGAUGCAACGCGAAGAACCUUACCUGGGUUUGACAUGCACAGGACGCGUCUAGAGAUAGGCGUUCCCUUGUGGCCUGUGUGCAGGUGGUGCAUGGCUGUCGUCAGCUCGUGUCGUGAGAUGUUGGGUUAAGUCCCGCAACGAGCGCAACCCUUGUCUCAUGUUGCCAGCGGGUAAUGCCGGGGACUCGUGAGAGACUGCCGGGGUCAACUCGGAGGAAGGUGGGGAUGACGUCAAGUCAUCAUGCCCCUUAUGUCCAGGGCUUCACACAUGCUACAAUGGCCGGUACAAAGGGCUGCGAUGCCGCAAGGUUAAGCGAAUCCUUUUAAAGCCGGUCUCAGUUCGGAUCGGGGUCUGCAACUCGACCCCGUGAAGUCGGAGUCGCUAGUAAUCGCAGAUCAGCAACGCUGCGGUGAAUACGUUCCCGGGCCUUGUACACACCGCCCGUCACGUCAUGAAAGUCGGUAACACCCGAAGCCAGUGGCCUAACCCUUGGGAGGGAGCUGUCGAAGGUGGGAUCGGCGAUUGGGACGAAGUCGUAACAAGGAGCG